CCCGAGAGAGUCGGCGUUCCCCGUUCGGGGGACGAGGGUGACAGGUGGUGCAUGGUUGUCGUCAGCUCGUGUCGUGAGAUGUUGGGUUAAGUCCCGCAACGAGCGCAACCCUCGACCUUAGUUGCCAGCAUUCAGUUGGGCACUCUAAGGUGACUGCCGGCUAAAAGUCGGAGGAAGGUGGGGAUGACGUCAAAUCAUCAUGCCCCUUAUGACCUGGGCUACACACGUGCUACAAUGGGCGGUACAAAGGGUCGCGAACCCGCGAGGGGGAGCCAAUCCCAAAAAGCCGCUCUCAGUUCGGAUUGCAGGCUGCAACUCGCCUGCAUGAAGCCGGAAUCGCUAGUAAUCGCGGAUCAGCAUGCCGCGGUGAAUACGUUCCCGGGCCUU
rnacentral:rRNA from 1 species